CAGAAUCAUGUGGAAAUGUACUGAAGCUUUAAAAAGACCCCUGCUACCAUCUGCGUAUAAAUUGAGGAAGCAGUUUUAUGGAACACCUUCAAGCCUGCAUCAUGGUUAAAAGCAGAGACACCUCAGAGCAUGGUAGGCAAACAGUCAUUCAUUUCCUCAAACUGGGAGAUGGACAUAAACCAAUUCACAAAAAGUUCAGCCUUCUCACCGCUGUAGUGUCCAUCAUUAAGAUGUUCAGUUUUGGUGGAACAGUUCCGUUGCUACCUAAGAGGGGCCGCAAGAAAAUAUUGCCACCAAAUGCUGUACGAAAACUGGUUCAGGAAGCGAAAAGCUGAAGAUCUCCAGGUGCUGUGGAAAGAUUGUGAUACUUGUGGCAAAACACAACCAUAAAUGAUUGACUGGAUCUGGAUUGUUUGGCAGAGUUUCAAGGGGAAACAUCUCCUCUGAAGAUGCCAUUAGUGUUCUUCUCUAGUGAUUGUCUGGAUAGUGUUUUAAAAGCAUAUGAAGCAAACUUUGGAUGCUCUGGGCACUGGGUCUUGUUAAUUUCUUUCUACACCCAGAAAGUCUACAUACAUGCUAAGCCGAGUAAUGCGGACAAUGACAUGCAGUAUGGAGCUGGAUCUUCUAUCACUCCUUGUUUGCCUUUUACAGGUUACGUGGUAUUUUGAGGAUUAAAGAGGCAGUGAAAUCAAACUAGUGGCUAAUUUUGUAUUAUAUUAUAAAGUAGCAGCUUUUAUACAACUCAUUCCCCAAAACUUUACAAAUAUACAGUGGGGAUAUGAAUAUGUUGACAGAUGCUACAGGUUAAGAGAACCUUGCUCAUAUCAGCUUACAAUCUAAGAUGCUAUGAUAUCCACUAAUCCUUGUUUAAACAUGAGCAGAAUUAAAGCCGUACCUAGACGUAGCUCUUACGGUUUAAGUCUAAUCAUCUUGAUAUGUAUCAGAAAAUCAUUGUGGAGCAUGUUAAUGGAAAGUUUGUUUAAUGUCUUGGAAGUAUUGACUCCGAGAAAGGACAGUGAAGAGAAAAGCUUGAAUGGGACGUACGACGCAUACUCAAAAAAGGACUCGUGGAAGCAUGGUGAAAACUGAUAGGGACUAAUUAAAAUUCCAGAUUGAUUUUUCUUUUUUUUCUUGGUUUUUAAAGAUAACCUUAUGUACAUCCUACAUUUUCAUAAACGAAAAUGGUCAUAGCCUUUACUAUUAUUUGCAAUAAAAUAUUAUAUAU